UGCCAUUUUUUUCAGUCACUGU
rnacentral:miRNA from 1 species